ACGGGAGGCAGCAGUGAGGAAUAUUGGUCAAUGGGCGGGAGCCUGAACCAGCCAAGUCGCGUGAGGGAUGACGGUCCUACGGAUUGUAAACCUCUUUUGCCGGGGGGUAACAAGCGGGACGCGUCCCGCCAUGAGAGUACCCGGCGAAAAAGCAUCGGCUAACUCCGUGCCAGCAGCCGCGGUAAUACGGAGGAUGCGAGCGUUAUCCGGAUUUAUUGGGUUUAAAGGGUGCGCAGGCGGCGCGUCAAAUCAGCGGUCAAAGCCCGGUGCGCAACGCGGGUCCGCCGUUGAAACUGCCGUGCUCGAGUUCGUGCGAGGAGAGCGGAAUGCGUGGUGUAGCGGUGAAAUGCAUAGAUAUCACGCAGAACGCCGAUUGCGAAGGCAGCCCUCCAGCACUGGACUGACGCUCAUGCACGAAAGCGUGGGUAUCGAACAGGAUUAGAUACCCUGGUA
rnacentral:rRNA from 1 species